CUCUAGCUGACGAGUCCCGAAUAGGACAAGACAUGCUUCCUGGAC
rfam:Schistosoma curassoni strain Dakar, Senegal genome assembly, scaffold: SCTD_scaffold0005601